CCCGCGAGGGUUGGUCUGAAGGAAGCCAUAGGUGCGAGUCGUGUCCGAACGAAAGUGAAGCGCCGUAAGGCAUGCGUAGAGGGUGAGCUGGCCCGUAGCAGCGACGCCCGAUGUCUGUCGGUUCUACGUGUGUAUUGGCGACGGGCAAGGUUCGAAA
rnacentral:ncRNA from 1 species